AGGGUUCGAUUCUGGCUCAGGAUGAACGCUGGCGGCGUGCUUAACACAUGCAAGUCGAACGGGAUCCAUCAGGCUUUGCUUGGUGGUGAGAGUGGCGAACGGGUGAGUAAUGCGUGACCGACCUGCCCCAUACACCGGAAUAGCUCCUGGAAACGGGUGGUAAUGCCGGAUGCUCCGACUCCUCGCAUGGGGUGUCGGGAAAGAUUUCAUCGGUAUGGGAUGGGGUCGCGUCCUAUCAGCUUGAUGGCGGGGUAACGGCCCACCAUGGCUUCGACGGGUAGCCGGCCUGAGAGGGCGACCGGCCACAUUGGGACUGAGAUACGGCCCAGACUCCUACGGGAGGCAGCAGUGGGGAAUAUUGCACAAUGGGCGCAAGCCUGAUGCAGCGACGCCGCGUGCGGGAUGACGGCCUUCGGGUUGUAAACCGCUUUUGAUCGGGAGCAAGCCUUCGGGUGAGUGUACCUUUCGAAUAAGCACCGGCUAACUACGUGCCAGCAGCCGCGGUAAUACGUAGGGUGCAAGCGUUAUCCGGAAUUAUUGGGCGUAAAGGGCUCGUAGGCGGUUCGUCGCGUCCGGUGUGAAAGUCCAUCGCUUAACGGUGGAUCUGCGCCGGGUACGGGCGGGCUGGAGUGCGGUAGGGGAGACUGGAAUUCCCGGUGUAACGGUGGAAUGUGUAGAUAUCGGGAAGAACACCAAUGGCGAAGGCAGGUCUCUGGGCCGUUACUGACGCUGAGGAGCGAAAGCGUGGGGAGCGAACAGGAUUAGAUACCCUGGUAGUCCACGCCGUAAACGGUGGAUGCUGGAUGUGGGGCCCGUUCCACGGGUUCCGUGUCGGAGCUAACGCGUUAAGCAUCCCGCCUGGGGAGUACGGCCGCAAGGCUAAAACUCAAAGAAAUUGACGGGGGCCCGCACAAGCGGCGGAGCAUGCGGAUUAAUUCGAUGCAACGCGAAGAACCUUACCUGGGCUUGACAUGUUCCCGACAGCCGUAGAGAUACGGCCUCCCUUCGGGGCGGGUUCACAGGUGGUGCAUGGUCGUCGUCAGCUCGUGUCGUGAGAUGUUGGGUUAAGUCCCGCAACGAGCGCAACCCU
rnacentral:rRNA from 1 species